rnacentral:tRNA from 1 species
GCGACACUAGCUCAGUUGGUAGAGCGCAACCUCGCCAAGGUUGAGGUCACGAGUUCGGACCUCGUGUGUCGCUCCA